ACGGAGGAAUCGUAGAAGGGAGGGUGUUUCGCUUACAAUGUAUACAGACGUAAUAUAUUUUAACUCUCUGAAUAGAUAACAUUUUUCUCAUUUUUUUCCUCGUUGAUUGGGGGAAACUGACGAUGCAAAUAAGGUAAACCAGAUAAACCAGAAUAUAAUCAUGAAAUUCCUUUUAUGAACGUCCUUUUUAUAGUUUAGUUUGAAAAAUUGAAUUGGGUAUCCUGAUCGCUGGAAUAAAACCAUAAGUAGGAGUGCAACCUCGAGUACUAUCUUCUUCACUUCCGUUGGAAAAACCUUUCCUUCUUCUUACUGGUUUUAACGUACUACCACAUUUUACGAUGAAUUUAAUUUCAGCCAUGAGUUCUUCUUUGAAGGAAAUCUAAAGUGAAUACGACAUACUUAAAAUGGAUCUUCCUAUAGAUUUUAGCAUUUAAGAUGUGCAACCAAUCUCCCACAGAAGUUCGAAUAUGGUGUAGAAAAAGGAGACAGCAACACCAACAGUUAAUACUAGAAAAACACCACCCACGUUGUCAAGAUCCAGCUCCUCUGCCAUACUUUGACAGCUUUCUUCGUAUAAAUUAUAACGUUAAUUUUAUAAAAAUUGAGUUUUGAAUUCGUGUUAUAAUUUUUCUUCCAAUUUUUACGAAUACAUACUCGAUAUUUUCCA